CUUCAUCACAUCCCUGUUGUAUCAAGAUAGCCUCCAUCUUGAUCUUCCACAGCCCGAAAUCAUUAGAACCAUUGAACUUCUCAACGUCGAACUUGAUUGCCAUUGCUUCUUGGAGAUUCUUGAAUCAGUGCCCCACGGUGGGCGCCAAUUGUUGGGUUCGAAGAGGAAACUAGAAACCNAGAAGAAGAAAAACAGAAGAGAAAGACAGAUAGAGAGUAGAACUGAAUAUUGCGUAAAAUCUUAUUCGAAACAGGGAGUUGGUUACAAUAUAUAACCAACUCAAGCACAGAAAGCAAACAGCAAAGAAAACCGGACGC
rnacentral:lncRNA from 1 species